GUGAGUGUUACUUGUUGUGUGUUAGGUGGUCGUGUUGUGUUUUGUAGGCAGCUAUACCCACGGCGUUGUAACGAUCGAAUUUUUAAUUAAUAAAAUUUUGGUGGUUACAAAUAUAUGGAGUCAUACUGUAGAUUCUGCGGUGAUGAGAUUAAUGAUCAAUUACACAUGUGCUGUUAGAAUGUCAAGCGCUAAUGCACUAACGGAAUAAACUCCUAGGAAUGUAUAUCCUUAUGGAAGAUGCAAUAAAUAUCUGUAAAAUCAGCCUAGCCUACGACAUCUGUAAAAAAUAAUCUCUCCAGAAGCAACGAAUAUGUUUUCUCCAGCAACUUAAGCAGACAACUUAAACAUGAUGUGUUUCUGCAGUGAUUAAGCAUAAUGUGCCACGGAAGGAUCUGCAGUUUUUUUUACCUUUUGGAAGUAAAAAAUCUAUAUCUUACUUGAGUUUUGGUCCCCGCAGAGCCCGCAAUAUUGUAUCAGAUACAUCGCAAACGUGGAACAAGUAGUAAAACAGGAAACGUUCCAUGUGUAAGGACCGAAAAUAUUAGACAAUAUUCCUAUGGCGCUAAUGGAGUUCGACAACAAACUUACAGUUUACAAAGCCAUUUUCAGUACAAGUUUACUGUUAGACGAUCCAUAAAAUGACAAAGUCAAUUCAUCAAAGAAUAUAAAGAAGUUAAAAUCAGUUCAUAUUUCACUUGCUAUUUAUGAAGACAAUAAAGUUUGCUAUAUGGGAUGGAGAUUAUAAACGUACAUUCACUGUAAA